rnacentral:rRNA from 1 species
AAGACCUUGCGCUUUUGGAGCGGCCGAUGUCUGAUUAGCUAGUUGGUAGGGUAAUGGCCUACCAAAGCUUCGAUCAGUAGCUGGUCUGAGAGGACGACCAGCCACACUGGGACUGAGACACGGCCCAGACUCCUACGGGAGGCAGCAGUGGGGAAUUUUGGACAAUGGGCGCAAGCCUGAUCCAGCCAUGCCGCGUGAGUGAAGAAGGCCUUCGGGUUGUAAAGCUCUUUCAGCCGGGAAGAAAAGGCUACGACGAAUAAUCGUAGCUCAUGACGGUACCGGAAGAAGAAGCACCGGCUAACUACGUGCCAGCAGCCGCGGUAAUACGUAGGGUGCGAGCGUUAAUCGGAAUUACUGGGCGUAAAGGGUGCGCAGGCGGUUUUGUAAGUCAGAUGUGAAAUCCCCGGGCUUAACCUGGGAACU